rnacentral:rRNA from 1 species
AUUGAACGCUGGCGGCAGGCCUAACACAUGCAAGUCGAGCGGAUGAAGGGAGCUUGCUCCUGGAUUCAGCGGCGGACGGGUGAGUAAUGCCUAGGAAUCUGCCUGGUAGUGGGGGAUAACGUCCGGAAACGGGCGCUAAUACCGCAUACGUCCUGAGGGAGAAAGAGGGGGGUCUUCGGACCUCACGCUAUGAGAGGAGCCUAGGUCGGAUUAGCUAGUUGGUGGGGUAAAGGCCUACCAAGGCGACGAUCCGUAACUGGUCUGAGAGGCUGAUCAGUCACACGAGAACUGAGACGCGGUCCAGACUACUACGGGAGGCAGCAGUGGGGAAUGUUGGACAGUGGGCGAAAGCCUGAUACAGCCAUGCGAAGUGUGUGAAGACGGUCUUCGGAUUGUAAAGAACGUCAAGUUGGGAGGAAGGGCAGUAAGUUAAUACCUUGCUGUUUUGACGGUACCAACAGAAGAAGCACCGGCUAACUUCGUG